rnacentral:tRNA from 1 species
GACCCGUCCUCGCAGAGGACGGCCAGCCGCUGACACCGGCUCCCACCCGGUCGGCACCGGCUCCGAUGCCGGUGGCGGCUCUC